AAAGGAAACAAAGGACGAGAAUGGAGCUCUUCAUGAUAGAUGAUUGUUUGAUGAUUGUUUGAUGAUUGUUUUGUUGUUUUGUUGUUUUGUUUCUUCUUUUA
rnacentral:ribozyme from 16 species